AAGCCUAGCGAUAUGUAAGUUAGUGGCGGACGGGUGAGUAACGCGUGAGCAAUCUGUCCCAGACAGGGGGAUAACAGAUGGAAACAUCUGCUAAUACCGCAUAAGCCCACGGGUCGGCAUCGACCAGAGGGAAAAGGAGCAAUCCGCUUUGAGAUGGCCUCGCGUCCGAUUAGCUAGUUGGUGAGGUAAUGGCCCACCAAGGCGACGAUCGGUAGCCGGACUGAGAGGUUGAACGGCCACAUUGGGACUGAGACACGGCCCAGACUCC
rnacentral:rRNA from 1 species